rnacentral:rRNA from 1 species
GUAGAGGUGACAGACCUAACGAGCUUAGUGAUAGCUGGUUACUUAAGAAAAGGAUCUUAGUCCCCCCUAAAUUUUUUAUAAUAUUUACAAAUAGAAACUAAAAUUUAGAGUAAUUCAAAUAAGGUACAGCCUAUUUGAAUCAGGAUACAACCUUCACAAACGGGUAACUAAACUUUUAUGUAGCUAAGUAGGCCUAAAAGCAGCCACCUUCAAAAAGCGUCAAAGCUUAUCUACAAAUUUUCUUAAUCCCCCUAAUCUUUAAAAACCCUUAAUCUUUAUUAAGUAACUCUAUAAAAUUAUAGAACCUAUUAUGUUAAAACUAGUAACAAGAACUAGAACUUCUCUUUAAUGUAAGUGUAAAUCAGAUUGGACAAACCACUGAUUUUUAACAUUUGGAACCAAAGUAACAACUUAUCAAGAAAACCUUACCUCACACAAUGUUAACCUGACACAAGAACAUUUUAAGACAGAUUUAAAGGAAAAGAAGGAACUCGGCAAACAUUAACCUCGCCUGUUUACCAAAAACAUCGCCUCUUGAAAACCAUAUAAGAGGUCCAGCCUGCCCAGUGACUCUGUUCAACGGCCGCGGUAUCCUAACCGUGCGAAGGUAGCGUAAUCACUUGUUCUUUAAAUGAGGACUAGUAUGAACGGCAUUACGAGGGUUAUACUGUCUCCUCUUCCUAAUCAGUGAAACUAAUCUCCUCGUGAAGAAGCGAGGAUAAACCUAUAAGACGAGAAGACCCUAUGGAGCUUUAAACUCUCAGCAAUUAUUUUUUCUACACCAACCUUAAGGUUAUUACACUAACUUUAAUAAUAUGCCUGUCAGUUUUCGGUUGGGGUGACCGCGGAGUAAAACCCACCCUCCGCAAUGAAUAUUAAAAGCAAAAAACUACAAUUUUAUGCAUCAAAAAAUUGACAGUAUUGACCCAACACUUUGAUCAACGAACCAAGUUACCCUAGGGAUAACAGCGCAAUCCAUCUCAAGAGCUCAUAUCGACAGAUGGGUUUACGACCUCGAUGUUGGAUCAGG